rnacentral:rRNA from 1 species
UACGGAGGGUGCAAGCGUUAUCCGGAUUCACUGGGUUUAAAGGGAGCGCAGGCGGACUGGUAAGUCAGUGGUGAAAGCCCUGGGCUCAACCCGGGAACUGCCAUUGAUACUAUCAGUCUUGAAUAUCGUUGAGGUUUGCGGAAUGGGUCAUGUAGCGGUGAAAUGCAUAGAUAUGACCCGGAACACCUAUUGCGAAGGCAGCCCCCUGGGCCGACACUGACGCUCAGGCACGAAAGCGUGGGGAGCAAACAGG